ACGGGAGGCAGCAGUGGGGAAUAUUGGACAAUGGGGGAAACCCUGAUCCAGCGACGCCGCGUGAGUGAAGAAGUAUUUCGGUAUGUAAAGCUCUAUCAGCAAGGAAGAAAAUGACGGUACUUGACUAAGAAGCUCCGGCUAAAUACGUGCCAGCAGCCGCGGUAAUACGUAGGGAGCGAGCGUUGUCCGGAAUUACUGGGUGUAAAGGGUGCGUAGGCGGGGAUGCAAGUCAGAUGUGAAAUGUAUGGGCUCAACCCAUGAACUGCAUUUGAAACUGCAACUCUUGAGUGAGGUAGAGGUAAGCGGAAUUCCUAGUGUAGCGGUGAAAUGCGUAGAUAUUAGGAGGAACAUCGGUGGCGAAGGCGGCUUACUGGGCCUUUACUGACGCUGAGGCACGAAAGCGUGGGGAGCAAACAGGAUUAGAUACCCUGGUA
rnacentral:rRNA from 1 species